CACUGACAUCUACUUCAACAUCAGCACCUGUGCACCUCUUCCAUUUUUCCUUAUGACUGAAGAUUCAGAAGGAAAUAACAAUAUUGUCCAAGGCAAUGUCAUGACAUCAGGUCAGACAUUCUUCUGCUCUCUCAGCCUUGACACACGCCCCAUCAUCUCACUAACUAACAAGGUUCCAUACCUUGUUUUCUGAGAACACAUAGACCACAAGCUUGAUGAUUACUUGCAGUGCAAGGACAGAACUCC
rnacentral:lncRNA from 1 species